rnacentral:rRNA from 1 species
UACGGGGGGUGCAAGCGUUGUUCGGAAUUAUUGGGCGUAAAGAGCGUGUAGGCGGCUGAAUAAGUCAGAUGUGAAAUCCCUGGGCUUAACCCAGGACGUGCAUUGGAAACUGGAUAGCUUGAGUACGGGAGAUGGUAGUGGAAUUUCGAGUGUAGGGGUGAAAUCCGUAGAUAUUAGGAGGAACACCAGUGGCGAAGGCGACUUUCUGGACUGUAACUGACGCUGAGGCGCGAAAGCGUGGGGAGCAAACAGG